GAUGAACGCUGGCGGCGUGCCUAACACAUGCCAGUCGAGCGGCAGCGAGGGGUGCUUGCACCCUGUCGGCGAGCGGCGGACGGCUGAGUAACGCGUGGGAACGUGCCUCAAAGUGAGGAAUAACUGCCCGAAAGGGUAGCUAAUACCGCAUAUUAUCUUCGGAUCAAAGGAUUUAUCCGCUUUGGGAGCGGCUCGCGUCGGAUUAGGUAGUUGGUGAGGUAAUGGCUCACCAAGCCGACGAUCCGUAGCUGGUCUGAGAGGAUGACCAGCCAGACUGGAACUGAGACACGGUCCAGACUCCUACGGGAGGCAGCAGUGAGGAAUCUUCCACAAUGGGCGAAAGCCUGAUGGAGCAACGCCGCGUGCAGGACGAAGGCCUUCGGGUUGUAAACUGCUUUUAUAAGUGAGGAAUAUGACGGUAACUUAUGAAUAAGGAUCGGCUAACUACGUG
rnacentral:rRNA from 1 species